UAUUUAAAAAAUAAAUUACGUCGUCGAGGUUACACUUCCUCCGUUCGUUUCUUCCUCGGAAUUCUGUGCGAUUGUGUUUCUCUCUUUGCGUCUCAUUCCAUGGCGUUUUCUGUGCAUUCCAGAGCAAGAAGUACUACACUAAGGUGCUGAGGCUGUCGGAAUCAUUCAGUGGUAUCAAGGAUGUUAAUCUGCACCUGGCAGCAACCACUUCAAAGGAACUUGUUGAAGAUCCUCUGAAAUCAGUAGAGCAAUCCAGGCGCUGGAAGAUUAAGAGUUGCUAUGGUGAUAUUGGCUUUCAGUACAGAGACGAUGAGACGAUUGCUUACGUCGCCUCCCGUUCUUAACGAGGUAGCAUAGGUUUCUGCUUACUUGCUAACUCACUAUAUUAGCUAUCUUUCAUCGUCAGAAAUUCGAGAAAUGAACUGGAACUGAAUAGCAUAUGAGAAUGCAUUUAAAUAUGGUGAAAUAUUUAGUGGAAAGAAUUAGGCUUCAGAUGAUAGUUAUCAUAAAGGAUUUAACGAUUUAAGACUGAAUCAUGUUCUUACUGAAACUUGUAUGAUUAUAUUUGGGAGCUUGCUGUUUAUUUGAAGUCAUUCUCAUAUUCAGGUCGGUUUCUAUGAUUGGGAAUGAUUUUGUCAUAACUUCUUUUUCCUUUUUUACACGCUAUGCAGUUAGGUUCGUAGAAGGCUACCCGAUUUCUCUCCAUCUAAUGUAUUGGAUUUUGGUGCUGGCACUGGUUCAGCUUUCUGGUAAAAAGUGCUAUGCUUGAUUUCACAGGCUACUUUAUUCAUUUAUUUGAUGUAGAAUGCAUGGACUGUCAUAAGCCUAUAAUAGCUGAUUACAUUGUUGCAAUGGCCUAGAUCCACUGCUAGCAGAUAUUGUCUUCUUUGGACUUUUCCUUUUCCCUUUCGGGCUUCCCUUCAAGGCUUUAAAAAGCGUCUUCUAUUUCUCUGUCUGCACUUGCGUCUAUCUUUCUAAUCAGUGUCAUGAUGGAAAAUGUCCAUUAGAGAAUUCUGGGAAGUAUUGUCACUUUGUUCAGUGGUUGGAGAGGACAUCUACGCAAUGAGCUUACAAGAGGAUCUAAUAAAGUUGAACACACAAGAUAUUGUUCCAUACCAAGAAGUGGAUCCAGAUACAUAUGAUUCUGAUGUCAUGGAAACUGAAACUCUUGAUGAAGAUGGAGAAGAGGGAGGAGAGGAACAAGGAGAUUAGGCGCUUGCUGAUCUUGGUGGUGGUUGGGGCAGGAGUGUAUUUUCACCAAUUCGAAGGGCAGGCAUGUAUCGAUGGAUAUUUGUCGAUCGACAAAACUGGAUGCCGGAGGGAUCGUUUGAGCGAGUCAUUGUAACACAGAGUAAGAAUCCUACUUCACAUCAUCAGGCUCGAAGAAGAAGUCUAUUAGAGUUAAACAUCCGCACAUUGAUUUGGAGCGUCAAAUCAAGUCAUUGAUGGCUCAUUUGAUCGAGAGCACGUGUCUUAACCAGUCGAGUUAUGAGUCAUGCUUGGGUUGACACUGAUGACUCGUUGCCGGUAACGAUAUUUAUAAUUCAUUUAUAUUUGAUACUCAAUUUAGAGUAGACCAUUGGAAAUCUACCACAGUGCAACUGGCCAUGUACUCUCUGAACAGUAACCCUUACUAAAAUAACCCAAAGAUACUGCAACGCACUUAUAAUAGAAAGUAGAGCCACUUUUUGUAAUGAAGGCAAUAUAUUUAAUAAUCCUUCAACUUCAAACCCACCAAA